rnacentral:rRNA from 1 species
AUGGACCAGCUACGAGAAUUCAAUGAUUUGGCUUCUACUGUUACCUCGACCACCCUGGACCCACACACUCGGGACUCCAUCUCUUGGAACUGGCACCCCAUCGGUGAGUACUUGGCCGGCUUAACUUAUCUGGCUCAAUUCUUGCGCUCCUUUUCUAGGUUCUUGAGUGAUAAAAUUUGGAGGGCGCAUGCGGAGCCAAGGUGUAAGCUCUUCUCCUGGCUCAUCCACCACAACGGGAUCCUCACAGCCCAUCAGCUGGCCACACAGGGCUGGCUGCAUGACCCUAUAUGCCAGCUUUGCUUUACUGCCCUUGAGACCGUCAACCAUCUCUGCAUGGAUUGUACAUUCACUUUCAUCGUCUGUCGCCUUGUAUUCUACUGGGUACUAGAGCCGCCAGCCUUUGCUCUGACAGCCACCACCCCCUCAAUUGUCAGUUGGUGGGAUGGUAGCCUCAAGGACAACGACAACACUCUGAGGAGGUGGUGCAAUGGCUUCCUCAUUUAUAUACUGUGGAAUUCCUAG